CACGACCUCGGCGCGACGCGCGCGGGAUCCAGUGGAGACUGCUUUCCCAUAGGCCGCCAUCCAGGGCGGGGAAGGGAGCGGACCCUCCCGGCUCCAGGUGCCUGGGCCCCCGGCGGCCUGCGGAGGCCUCGCCCCACGCCACCCGCCCACUGGCCUCGUCUUCGCGCGGGGAGAAAAGCAGCCUGAUUCGGAGGAACGGGUUGCUUGGGGCGGCUCCCAGCUCGAGUUGUGGGCCCCGCCGCGGGUGCCCUUCGGAAACGCGCUGACACCAGGCGAAGCCGCCUCUGCCCGGACGCAGCCCGACACUUGGCCCGCGGGGUUCCCCGGGACGCCUGAGAGUAAUGGGCGCGAGGGGGAAAGCCGAACGGCCUCCCUGUGCCCGGCGCAGGCGGUGCCCCCUAGCUGGGUUCGCCGCGGCGGCGCUGCGAGCCCCCGACACUGAGGACUUUUGGUCCAACAGUCCGACGGGGCCCGGUGCGCCGUUCCCUCCGCCCUCUCCCCGCUCCCCGGCCCGCGCGUCUUGGAGGGUGGGUGAAUUGUCGGAAGCACUCUACGCCUGGCCAACCCAAACCAGGAACCUCCGCACCAAACAGCCCACGUUGCUGCUGCUCUGGGGUUUUAACGGCCAAGGGAGACUGGAGAAGGGGUGUUCUGCCUUCCCAUUCUCUUAGGCCCGUCCACUCCCCAUCCCCACAGUUUGGAAGUGGCCUUUUCUGAGGACUCCAGCGCAAAGCAUGUUUCUCCUUUUGAGCUGCGGAAGCCUUGCUUGUUCCCGCCAUUGGGAGGGCAUUCCAUCAUCUGCAGCUGCCUUCCUCGGUGGGCCUUGUCCCUUAGCGUCCACCUAGGGGACAUUCUAAGCUUCUUGAGACCUGCUUGUCCACCCCAACAUGUCUCAGCAUAUGGCUGUGCCCUAAGGGGUCUUUGAGGGCAUUUUAGGAGGUGAGCGGCGCCCCUACCUGGGCUCCGCGGGGCCGAUUCGGUUUGCCCUUUGCUGGCAUGUCAGUGAAUUAACUGCUGUCCUUGGGAUGACCUGCCCUAUGAUUUGGCCUCUGGAGCAUCCCGGGUGUGUAUUUCAGAACUCCUCCCAUCUUAUCCACCUGCUGAAGGCCUGGCCCCCUGAUAUGGUUUGGCUCUGUUUCCCCACCCAAAUCUCACCUUGAAUUUUAAUAAUCCCCACGUGUCAUGGGCGGGACCAGGUGGAGGUAAUUGAAUCAUGGAGGUGGUUUCCUGAACGCUGCUCUCGUGACAGUGAGUUCACAAGAUUUUUUUUUUUAACGGAGUAUCACUCUGUCACUCAGGCUGGAGUGCAGUGGCGCGAUCUUGGUUCACUGCAACCUCUGCCUCCCGGGUUCAAGAGAUUCUCCUGCCUCAGCCUCCCGAGUAGCUGGGAUUACAGGUGCGCGCCAUCACGCCCGGCUAAUGUGUAUUUUUAGUAGAGAAAGGGUUUCACCAUGUUGGUUAGGCUGGUCUGGAACUCCUGACCUUGUGAUCUGCCUGCCUCGGCCUCCCAAAGUGCUGGGAUUACACGCGUGAGCCACUGUGCCCAGCCGAUCUGAUGCUUUUAUAAAGGGCUUUCCCCGUCCCCCUUCCUCUCUCUCACCACCCUGUGAGAAAGGUGCCUUUCUUCCCCCUUCACGUGAACUGCCUCCAUGAUUGUAAGCUUCCUGAGGCCUCCCCAGCUAUAAGGAACUGUGAGCCAAUUAAACUGCUUUAUAAAUUAA
rnacentral:lncRNA from 1 species